rnacentral:rRNA from 1 species
UACGGAGGGUGCAAGCGUUAUCCGGAAUGAUUGGGCGUAAAGCGUCCGCAGGUGGCUAUGUAAGUCUGCUGUUAAAGAGUGAGGCUCAACCUCAUAAGAGCAGUGGAAACUACAUGGCUAGAGUGCGUUCGGGGCAGAGGGAAUUCCUGGUGUAGCGGUGAAAUGCGUAGAGAUCAGGAAGAACACCGGUGGCGAAAGCGCUCUGCUAGGCCGCAACUGACACUGAGGGACGAAAGCUAGGGGGGCGAAUGGG